CGAAUACAAGAAGGGCUAUCUGGAUCAGGCCUCCGGAGGGGCUGUGCUCCAGCUGCGGCCCAACGACCAGGUGUGGGUGCAGAUGCCGUCAGACCAGGCCAAUGGCCUCUACUCCACUGAGUACAUCCAUUCUUCCUUCUCAGGGUUUUUGCUCUGUCCUACAUAACCCGUGGGGGGCCCUGCUGCCCCGGCCUCCUCCUCUUUAGCGAUAGAGACCUUUCCAGUUACAGAGAUCUCCAUUGGAAAGAAAAUCGAAAGCUGAACAGAGGCAGCGGUGGCCUCGGCCCGAGAAGACUGACCUGCUCUCUGUAGGCUGAAGUCGUUUCUGGAAGAGGUUGGCCUAAUUUCCUUUCCCCGAGGUGCACUGUGGGCGUUGUACCCCUGCUUUGGACCUGCCUGGUCUGCAGGCAGCGCCCCAGAGCACUCAGCCCGGGCCCCCUCGUGAGUCCUGGAAGCUGCUGGGAGAGAGAUGGCUUUCCUGUUGGCCUGAGAUGGCAUGGAAUGAGCCCAGGGCUUCCUGUGUUCUCUGGGUCUCUUCCAGCUCCCCAGGAGCUCCAGCACACGGCAUUAGGUUCUCUGAGGUUUUUGUUUCCUUUUGGGAG
rnacentral:lncRNA from 1 species